rnacentral:rRNA from 1 species
UACGGGGGGGGCAAGCGUUGUUCGGAAUUACUGGGCGUAAAGGGCUCGUAGGUGGCCAACUAAGUCAGACGUGAAAUCCCUCGGCUUAACCGGGGAACUGCGUCUGAUACUGGAUGGCUUGAGUUCGGGAGAGGGAUGCGGAAUUCCAGGUGUAGCGGUGAAAUGCGUAGAUAUCUGGAGGAACACCGGUGGCGAAGGCGGCAUCCUGGACCGAUACUGACGCUGAGGCGCGAAAGCUAGGGGAGCAAACGGG